GGUGGACUUAGACUGUUGACAUGUCUGGACUGGCUUGAUUUUCUUCUUCUGUUGGAUACACAUUUUUAUCCAUGGAUGGCAUGCUUGGGAUGCAGGUUUUGGAGACAUUUAAAAUAAAGGUGUGAGAAGUUGGGUUGGCUUCAAGUCCAGGAAUAAAGAGUUUUAGCAGAGGCAGACCUGAAACCCUGGAGAUUUCCAGGCAUUUAUGAUAGCGGUCAUGGCAACUGGCUGACCUUUGAGAGGCAGCUGGAUGGAUACUCAUGGGAUAGAAGAUCAACUUUGAAUUUUAAUAAAUUUUUAUAAACCAUCUGA